CUUGGCUUGCUUCUGUCAUUGUAUACACUACAUCCGAUACCUUUUGGAAACCUUAUUUGUUCACAAAGUUUCUGCAGGACACACACCUUUGAAAAAUUUGAUAAUGAGUUGUGCCUUUUACUGGGGAUUUACUUCUUGGAUUGCCUACUACAUUAAUCAUCCACUAUAUACACCACCAUCAUUUGGAAACAGGCAAAUCACAGUAUCUGCUAUCAAUUUUCUGAUUUGUGAAGCUGGGAAUCAUUUCAUCAAUGUAAUGUUGUCUCAUCCCAAUCACACAGGAAACAAUGCCUGUUUCCCAAGUCCAAAUUAUAACCCCUUCACAUGGAUGUUUUUCCUGGUUUCAUGUCCUAACUACACCUAUGAGAUUGGAUCAUGGAUUAGUUUCACAGUCAUGACACAAACACUGCCAGGUGGUCUCACUGCCUAAGACAUCAAAAGAAAAAGCCUGACAAAUUUACACCAUCUUGUUGUCAAUAUUAAUGCUACAGGUAUAAUCCUGUAGCAGCCAUGUACACAUUUUUAGCCUUUAAAACCUAACCUUCAUUUACAGGUUUUAGGAGUUACUAUACAUAAGUAUGUACACAUAUGCAUAUGUAUAUGGGUAUGUGUGUAAAUGUGCACACUUACAAACUUUAAUGAUACUCUAAAUUAAUAUAUAAGAUUUAUGUAAAUAAUAAGUUUGCAUUGCUGGCUAAAAUAUUGUGCAUUUAUUUUAAUAUAAAACAAAUCUAUAUAAUCUCACAUAUUCAUGGUUUUUUGCCACAUAUCUAAGUAACUUAAUUUUAGCUUAUGGAGUAUUUUGCAGGAGCAGCAUUCAACACUGCAUAGAUUAGUUGUAAGUGUCUCAAUUACAUUUACAUAUCAGUGUGUUUGGUGGGGAAAGAAGAUGAAAAAUAAAACAUUUGAAUAUAAAAUUAAAAUAAAUAAAAUAUGACAUUUAUUUAUGAUAGAUGUCAUAAUUUGAUCAUAUUCAUAGGAAAAACAUUAAU
rnacentral:lncRNA from 1 species